rnacentral:lncRNA from 1 species
AUUUUAAUUCAUUUAGGGGUAAAAUGAUAAUUUUUAGUGUCAAAAUGAUUGAUUGAUAUAAGGUUAAAAAUAAUUGUGAUGCAAAAAAUAUACAAAAUUUUGUAGUGAUUAGAUGUAUAAAAGACAAAAUAAAGUGAUGUAAAGAUAAUUUCCCUUGAAAAUUUAUUUAAAAAUUUAAUGAAAGUUGAAACCUGGCCCAAGCCUGCCUAGACCCGACCCAAUUUGGAUGAGCUUUUAGAGGCUUAGGCUUGUUACCAAUAACAUCAGCUUGGGUCUAGGCUCGAAAAGUCAUGCUUAACCCCGCAAUUUACCAUCCCUAUUAUUUAGUAGUCGAGAAGUUUGGCAUUUUUACAUAAUUAUAUUUUUAUUUAAUUUUUUUUAUUGUGCUAUCAAUGAAUGAUUGAAGAGAUUGGAUGUAAAAUUCAUAUAGUUCAAAUUCAAGACUUCUAAUGUUAUAUUUACUAAAAUUGCAGACUUAUUCACCCGAGACUUGUCUAAAGGUCUAGAAGUUGAGAAGUCUUUAAAUUACGAUCUGGAUCAAACAUUCAAUCACUAAACUUAAUUAAUAUUGAACACAAUAAAUCUCAUUAAAAAUGAUAUGUUACCUGUACAUUUAAAUAUACUUUAUCAUAUUUUAUAAGAAAAAAUUACUAAAUCAAAAACACCCAACACUUAUAAAUUUAGCAUGUUAUCUAUAUAUUUGAAAGUAAACAGAACAAAAACUUAAAUCUUAUGAUAAAUAUAAAAAAACAAAUAUAGCUUGUUAGAAGUGAAUGUGAUUUUUAAAUUGUUUUGAGCUAUGUUUGUUGGAACUUUGAUAGAGAGAGAUUGAUAAAGACGAAAGAGGUAUUUUAGAUAAAAAUACCAUUGAAAUAUCAUAAACAUUACAAUUUAAAGAAGUGUCAUAUUUAUAAAAAGUGUAUUAUUUUAUCAUAUACAAAUAAAAUAAUAGUGUCCUCAUCCUCUUCCUAGUUCCUAGUCCCAGUGUAGACAAAUGAUUUUUAUCCAUGAAAGGAUCUCUUGAGCUCUUAUUAGCCAAUUCCAAAGCUGAUUCAAUAGUCUCAUCUAGAGAUGGCCAACGAGCCGGACGGCACGUGGCAUGGUGUGGGCAUUUACGGCAUAGCACGACACAAGCACAUUCCAAUGGGACACGCAGCAUGACACAACACGUCAAGGCAUGCAUGUUAACUGGGUUGAGCUUAGAAUUUUAGGGACACGGUCUUUAAGAGUACAGCGCAAUUAAAGAUGGGUUAAAAUACGACACGUGAAAAAAAAACUGCAAUAAGCACAUUUUAUUUUUUAAUAAAAGUAC